rnacentral:rRNA from 1 species
AUUGAACGCUGGCGGCAGGCUUAACACAUGCAAGUCGAACGGUAACAUGGGUGCUUGCACCUGAUGACGAGUGGCGGACGGGUGAGUAAUGUAUGGGGAUCUGCCGAAUGGAAUGGGACAACAGUUGGAAACGACUGCUAAUACCGUACUAAUGUCGCGAGACCAAACGUAGUGGGACGUUCGGUCCGACCAUGCCACUUUGUAUGAACCACUAUGGAGUUAG